rnacentral:lncRNA from 1 species
UUCCCUAAAUUCAAAUUAUAAUCAACAUCUUUCUUUCUCUCUCAAUAUCACUGCCAUCAUCCAGCAACCACAUGGGAAGUCCGCCGGCCGAUCUUCAUUCAGGUUCUCGAACAGGUUCUUUUGAGGAGAUGUCUUUAACGAGAAAAGUGGUGAUGGAAGGUUGAUAAGGAUGAUUCACGUAUGAGGUCGAUAAGGAUGAUUCACAUAUGUUUGUUUGCUUGCUCGAUAAGGAUGAUUCAGCAUACAACGUGGCGAAUAGUUGUA